CGAAGCUGCGCCUCCUUACAGAGUGCAGGAAAAGCAUAUACUCCGGCGGAUUAUGGCGGAGGAGAAGUACAACAGGAAGAACACGGCGGUAAAGCGGAUCCUUCAGGAAAUGAAGGAGAUGCAAUCCAAUGCCUCUGAUGACUUCAUGAGCCCUCCGCUCGAGGUGAUGAUUCCCAAUCCCUGACCGGAACGCUAACCCUCAGUUGCCCUUCUUCUGAGGGAGGGGUAUAUCAUGGGAGGUUCUAAUUACCGGCAGAUUACCCUUUUAAACCUCCUGCGUUCAUGUUGCUAACUGUAAUCUUUGUUCUUAGCAAUAACGUCUUCAUGAAAUUGUGUAUUUUCAUAUUUGCGUCUCUCAUUCGUUUAAUUGGUUCCCCAAUCUUCGUCUCAGCCAAAUGGCUGAUUCAAAACACAAACGAAGAUUUGCUUAAGCAUAUCAAAUCGUCAUCCUCAACACUGACAGCAUCAUGGAGUGGCAGCAAUUGAUGCAGUCGAGCACCAAUUUUUCGUAGUUUGCUCUUAUUUCCUGGUUAGUAUACUACAUGAGCUUUGUGCUAUGCUAAUUUGCUUUUGUUUAUAAACAUGUCAUUUGGCAUUUUACCUACUGUGGAUAAUAAUUAUUCUGUUGGAAUUUUUGCCUAAAUUAUGGAUCUACAGUUCAUAUUUUGGUUUGUGGAAUGUACUCAUGCUCUUUACAUUUGGACAAGUGGUUGAUCUUGCUUCAUGAAAAUGUGGGAAUCAAAAUUCUUCAUCGCAAGUUUUGCAUAGGAAGUGAUAUGUGGAGUUGAAUGGGCUUAUGGGUGAAUGCAAGGUUUCAUGUCAGUCUGAUCGGUUGUUAAAACUGAUACUGGACCAAGAUUUUAAUUUCUUGGUAAAUAUUUGCGUCAUGUUGAUUGUCGCUUGCAACUUGUACAUGAGCCAGUUUGUAAAUUGUAACUUAGCCUAUCAAUCUUUUUUUUUUUUUUUUGAUAAUAACUCUUGGAGAAAAGAGAAGAGAUUUUUACUUUCUUUCCUUUUGGAUGCAAGGUGAGAAAUGAAGGGAAAUAAAAUAUUUUCUCAUGUUUGGUUUGAUAAAAUUAGAGAACAGAAGAGGAGAGAAAUUUUAUGUAAAUAAUAAAAAUAAAAUCUUUUCCCUCCAUAUUUCCCCAAUUUCCGAGAGUAGCCAAAGAAGUGCUAAGGACCUUUCGAGAAAUCUAAAAAUAAAAUGUGCCACUUAAUUGCUUAAACUGCAUUUAUAUCAUAUUCAAUUCACUAUAUGUCCCCAUUUUUUCACAAGCCAUCGGUCUAUUAAAAUACUUUGAUUAAUGCAAUUCUUUUGUCUUGCUUUUUCAGUUCGGAUAGCCUCAGUAGCCCUAAUUGCUUUCAUGUCAACAAAACCUGAUGGGGCAUUAGGGUCACUAGAAUACACAAAGGAAGAAAGGCAUGUUCUUGCCAUUAGGUCACGGGAAGCAGCUCCCAGAUUUGGCACCCGAGUGGCAGAAACUCAUAGAUGAUGGAUACUCUCAAGGUCUGUCGUACCCGAUCGUACCGCCCGGUACGGGCAGUACGUACCGGUCCGACAGGUCAGCGGUAUGCGGACCGCUCGGUACCGGUCCGAACAGAGUUGGUACGCUGAGGAACAACCGUACCGGUACCGAGCCAGGGUCAAAACGCCGGUACGGUACGAUACGGCGGACCUUGGAUACUCUGAUCUCUUUUGAAUUAGAUUUUAUCACUUGAUCUGAUGUUAAUGAUCCUUAUGUUGAUUUAGAUUUAAAUUCAUCAGUACAUGCUUAGCAAACCACCAAUUGUUCCUCAGCUGUCAUUGCCAUUAACCAUCAAUGAACAACCAAUUGCUCCAUUGAGUGAGGACCCUCAAACAAAUCCUACUAGUUCAGAAGCUGUAGCACCAGUUGAGCGGCCCCCAGUCCCAGAACCAGAUAGGCCUGUAGAAGAUGUGAGGGAACUUUAUUUAAAUGCCGCACAUGGCCACAUAAGAAUAAGCUUCAGAGUGAGGAUUUCAAGAAGGGUACCAGCAACAGUCACGAAUGAGCAACCUCAGAGACGUGAGGCAAGGGUUCAGAUGCCACUCCUAGAUGAAUGCUUGUUCACUUUGGCUGCCAUUGGGUUGGCCACCGGUAUCAUGGUAGUCUUAGUAUAGAAGUUUCUCAAGUCAAAUGUGCAUGCUCGAUACAUGGAUGCAUCAUAUACUUGUAUGUCUCGUGGCACGGCUUGGUCAUGAUAAUAUUUUGCAGUAUAAAAAGUUUGUUUCCUUUUUCUUCUGGCUUUUUGUUUGGUUAACAUUGUUGCUGGCCAUAGAAUGGCAUGCAUAUCUUGUUCAUAUUCCAUGAGUCAGUGGAUAAUCUUGUUCCCUACCAACUCUGUUCUAACGAAUGUCCUCAAUGCAUUGUGGUGGUAACAAUGUUGAUGCAAUUUUACAUGGUCUGCUUAAUGAUGGAUUUUCCAGCUAAUUUCACAGCUUGACAAUCAUAAGUUGAUUGAUGGUUCAAAUUGCUAUUCAGAAUGUUCAGUAAAUUCCAGCCAGCACUGAGAAGAGAAGAUAGCACAUUGCUUUGCUUUCUUUCCCUCCAGUAACACUGAGAGAAUCAAUCUGAGUCCGUAAAAAACAUCAUGUAAGUGUUUCAGUAUGAAUUAAUGCAGAGAUCAGCACAAAAAUUAGUCAUUGAGGUAAUUUUCUCUUGCUAAGCCAACCAUUAGAAUUUGUUUUCCAGUACACAUCAUGAGCUAUUGGUAAGUAGUGAUCUUCCCUUUUCUUUACCCUUGUUGGUCUCCUUUGUAAUCAGAUCAGUGUUUCUUUUUAGGUUGAAAGAAACUUUGUGGAUGAAGAAGCCAACUUGCACUCAUUGGCACAGUCCUCAAUGAGCAAUAAAAGACACCUCCAGAUAGGAGCAGCAAUCAUUCAAGCCACCAAGCAUCAUGAUUUGCUCACAGAGAGCAAUUCAAAGAGUCUCUGAUGCCCGUCACCUUAAUAUUAUCGUUUUCUUGGUUUGCUGCUGACCAUUCUGCAGGUUUCUGCAAGGCCAAGUCUUUUCCUUGUAGCUUUGGCUGACCGUCACUUGUUGAACAGCAAUGACAUCAAACAAUCUGCAGUUUGCGUUCUUAGAUCAAUAAAACAAAACAUUCUUAAAGUCCAAAAAUUACUAUGUUGAUUGCUCCUAACAUUAUGUAAUUCACCUGUAUAGUGUCUCCAUUUUUUUGAAGACAAUA